rnacentral:lncRNA from 1 species
AUGAGAUUCUCCUAUCUCGGUGUACUCUUCCACGGUUUCCACCUGCUACUUUCAGUUCUUCUUUCAAGGACCAAGCAGAACAAGUCUAAUCCCUCAUCUGUGUUUAGCAACCAACAAAUUCAGAUCUGGGAUUCUGAGCUAAAGGUGGAGAGAAUGAGCCACAACGACCCAAGUAGUCAGAGCCUGAGCCAGGAUUUGACCCUGGGGAUCUUCUGCCUGCAAGGUCAGUACUCUCUGUAUAUGUCCUCAGUGGGUGUUCUGAGCUUGCUGAGAACCAAACUGGAGAUAAGUCACAUGGUCAGCUAAGCCAGCAUUGGCAUACGUGCUGCCCCCUGGCAUGGGGGAGCUUCUCUGUUCCAUUUUUUGCAUGCCCCAGCCACCCAAAGCAAGCACUUCUCCCCUCAGCUCUCUCUGGCAAUGGGGGGGGGGUUCACACGCAGCUUGAAUUUGCCCUCUGGGCACUCGAACUCAAAAAAUUUAGCAGAUGCUGAGGUAGGCCAUGUCAAAGCCAGGAUUCUAGAAGCUUCCUGAUUCUAGCUCUACUGGGCCUCAGUGCAUCUGUUGGCAGGGGCCAAAGUCUCCAGGUAUCAGGUGAUUCGGUGACAAUGGGCAAGUCAAGAGCAUCCUUCCCUGAGCCUCAGUUUCCUCCUUCUGGAAGUUGUGGAUAAUAAUAGCCUUUACCUAGCAGGCUCACUGUGAGGGUGUCAUAAAGUGCUUUUGCAAACCUUAUGGUACUCCAUAAAUGCCAGACGUGAGAAUAACAGCUAGAAGCAUUCUUAUUGUCACUUCAACCAAGAGAGCACAUACAGAAGGAGGGGUGGAGAUGCCUCUCUCUCUCAGGACACUGGUGCUUGGGGGAGUCUCAGCACAUCAUUACUUAGUGUGAUUUAACAGCACUGAAGUUGGUCAUCCCAGCUGUUAUCUAGCUCAGGGUAAUUUAAUUCAUCACACAUGGAUGGCUUUACUCCCAGAGGAGAACUGAGUCCCUGGAGGAGGAGGAGAAUAUUAUUAUUUACAGGUGAAUUCCUUUCUUUUCCCUAGACCCAUGAUUGUGCACAGCAGCCGUCACUUUCUUUCACUGGCUUCCUGAUCUCCGUUUUAUCUUUUGUCCUUUGGAGAGCUGCUGAACUCCAGGUUGGUCGAGGCCAAGAUGCAACUUGGUAAGCAGUGAGGCCCUUGCUUUGGAGGUCCUCUCCCUGAAGGGAUUGAUCCCGGCAAGAAUUCUCUCCCCCAGUAGUAAUGCAAGCUGGGGUUCUCUGCCCAUCAGCAAAGGUGUAGUGGCUCGUAUCCUGGAGCCUAGUAGCCA